rnacentral:rRNA from 1 species
GACGAACGCUGGCGGCGUGCCUAAUACAUGCAAGUAGAACGCUGAAGCGAGGAGCUUGCUCUUCUUGGAUGAGUUGCGAACGGGUGAGUAACGCGUAGGUAACCUGCCUUGUAGCGGGGGAUAACUAUUGGAAACGAUAGCUAAUACCGCAUAACAAUAGGUGACACAUGUCAUUUAUUUGAAGGGGGCAAUUGCUCCACUACAAGAUGGACAUGCGUUGUAUUAGCUAGUAGGUGAGGUAACGGCUCACCUAGGCGACGAUACAUAGCCGACCUGAGAGGGUGAUCGGCCACACUGGGACUGAGACACGGCCCAGACUCCUACGGGAGGCAGCAGUAGGGAAUCUUCGGCAAUGGGGGCAACCCUGACCGAGCAACGCCGCGUGAGUGAAGAAGGGUGUCGGAUCGUAAAGCUCUGUUGUAAGUCAAGAACGAGUGUGAGAGUGGAAAGUUCACACUGUGACGGUAGCUUACCAGAAAGGGACGGCUAACUACGUG